AUUGAACGCUGGCGGCAGGCCUAACACAUGCAAGUCGAACGAGUGGCGCACGGGUGUGUAAUGUCUGGGAAACUGCUUGAUGGAGGGGGUUAACUACUGGAAACGGUAGCUAAUACCGCAAACCAUCAGCUGUGCCCUGAUGGGAUUAGCUAGUUGGUGGGGUAACGGCUCACCAAGGCCACGAUCCCCAGCUGGUCUGAGAGGAUGACCAGCCACACUGGAACUGAGACACGGUCCAGACUCCUACGGGAGGCAGCAGUAGGGAAUAUUGCGCAAUGGGCGAAAGCCUGAUGCAGCCAUGCCGCGUGUAUGAAGAAGGCCUUCGGAUUGUAAAGUACUUUCAGCGGGGAGGCGUUACCCGCAGAAGAAGCACCGGCUAACUCCGUGCCAGCAGCCGCGGUAAUUC
rnacentral:rRNA from 1 species